CUACAUCCACACGGACAAUUAUUAGGUUUUAUUUUUGUCAUGUUGUACACCGAUUACAAGUACAAUAAUCUCUUUAAAUAGAAAUUAUAAAAGGGACACCAUGAUUAUAUCCACUAACUAAACAUGGUGUCUAGUCAGCCCAAUUCAAUUGGUCAUGAUUUCAUACCCAACACCAUUGUACAUUAAUUAAUAUGAAAUUAUUAUUUGUGAUUCAUGCACUUAUAGAAGGAAAUGUAUGUAGUAAAUUUCAUGCGCGGAAGGAGAAUUAAAGAGCAAGGUUGGAGAGCCUUUGCAGAGUGAUAGUGGAAUGCAUUUGCAGCAGCGAUAGCAGCAGAAGGUUCAAUGCACAGUGAAGUUUUUGUGAAUAAAGAAGGGCAGAUUCUUAGCGUAGCAAAUUAAAUGUGGCAACUUAACUUGUUUUGUGUGAGGCACGUAACGUGAGGAUUGGAUGGAUACUGGCAUAACAUAACCUGGUAGUGACAUUUUCCACCAUUUUCCUUUUUAAAAGGCAAAAAGAAAAAUAUUAAUUAGUGGAAGAAGAAAAAAACAAAUAGAAGAAGGUACACCAUUCUUCCUUAUCCCUUUUCUACUCAACUUGAUAUCUCAAUUCUGACCACGCAGCCUUUUUCUCCAAACACCAUGCUCCAAUAUUCACACUUUCAAUUAUUCCUUCCAAUUUCAUCCUUUUAUUUUUAGUUUCAUGAACAAACACUCUACUUUUCUUCUCCUCCAAGAGCACAAGAUUUAAGAAAAAAAAAUGAUGUUUCCAUCUUACGUAUGAUUGGUGGUCUCCUCCAAUUUACCUUAAUGUUGAAAGGGAGUGCUGAAUUGUGAAAGAGUGAGUUAUCAUUUUCAGAAGUAGAGAAAGAGAGUACAAAAGGAACAGCUCUUCAUUAUCCCAUUUCUAAAUAAUAAAGUACAGAAUAAUAGUUGGGGUGAGUGGUCA
rnacentral:lncRNA from 1 species